rnacentral:rRNA from 1 species
UACGUAGGGCGCAAGCGUUGUCCGGAAUUAUUGGGCGUAAAGAGCGUGUAGGCGGUUCGGUAAGUCUGUCGUGAAAUCCUGAGGCUCAACCUUGGACGUGCGAUGGAUACUGCCGGGCUAGAGGAUGGUAGAGGCGAGUGGAAUUCCCGGUGUAGCGGUGAAAUGCGCAGAUAUCGGGAGGAACACCAGUAGCGAAGGCGGCUCGCUGGGCCAUUCCUGACGCUGAGACGCGAAAGCUAGGGGAGCAAACAGG